rnacentral:rRNA from 1 species
CGGAGGAUCCAAGCGUUAUCCGGGAAUCAUUGGGUUUAAAGGGUCCGGUAGGCGGUUUAGUAAGUCAGUGGUGAAAGCCCAUCGCUCAACGGUGGAACGGCCAUUGAUACUGCUAGACUUGAAUUAUUAGGAAGUAACUAGAAUAUGUAGUGUAGCGGUGAAAUGCUUAGAGAUUACAUGGAAUACCAAUUGCGAAGGCAGGUUACUACUAAUUGAUUGACGCUGAUGGACGAAAGCGUGGGUAGCGAACAGGAUUAGAUACCCUGGUAGUCCACGCCGUAAACGAUGGAUACUAGCUGUUGGGAGCGAUCUCAGUGGCUAAGCGAAGUGAUAAGUAUCCCACCUGGGGAGUACGUUCGCAAGAAUG